AGGACGAACGCUGGCGGCGUGCUUCAUACAUGCAAGUCGAACGAUAAGGUCUCUUCGGAGAUACAUAAGCGGCGGACGGGUGAGUAAAAUGUAGAGAAUCUGCCCUUAAGCGGGGGACAACAGAGGGAAACUUCUGCUAAUACCCCAUAUGAGCGUACCUGAAAUGGUAUUCUUGAAAACUCCGGUGCUUAAGGAUGAGUCUGCAUCUGAUUAGCUAGUUGGGGGUGUAAUGGACCACCAAGGCGACGAUCAGUAGCUGGUUUGAGAGGAUGAUCAGCCACAAUGGGACUGAGACACGGCCCAUACUCCUACGGGAGGCAGCAGUAGGGAAUUUUGCGCAAUGGGGGAAACCCUGAACCGCAGCAACGCCGCGUGACCGAUGAAGCCCUUCGGGGUGUAAAGGUCUGUCAGUGGGGACGAAACUUGACGGUACCCACAGAGGAAGCAUCGGCUAACUCCGUGCCAGCCGCCGC
rnacentral:rRNA from 1 species